GACGAGGGAUGCAAGCGUUAUCCGGAUUCAUUGGGUUUAAAGGGUGCGUAGGCGGCCCGGUAAGUCAGUGGUGAAAGCCUGUUGCUUAACAACAGAACUGCCAUUGAUACUGCUGGGCUUGAGUACAGAUGCUGUGGGCGGAAUAUGACAUGUAGUGGUGAAAUACAUAGAGAUGUCAUAGAACACCGAUUGCGAAGGCAGCUCACAAAACUGUAACUGACGCUGAGGCACGAAAGUGCGGGGAUCAAACAGG
rnacentral:rRNA from 1 species